AGCGUGCUGCACGGAGGGCAAACUGCGCGGAGCGCAAACUGCACGGAGAUGCCGGGUUCGGGAGGCCCGCGGUCGGGGAUUUCCUAAAGGAAGCACCUCGCAGGGGCCCUCAGGGGGUUAGGAGCGAGAGCUCCGGCCUGGAGGACCGGGUUCUAGACAGCAGUCAGAGUCUAGUUUCCUGCGGGACAUCCUACAAAUCGCUUCCCUCAGUGGGCCUCGGUUUCCCCAUGUAUCAGCCGAGCUCGUCACCCCGGGUCCCCUGAGCUCCAGUAGCUACCUCUUGCUGCCUCCGGGGUCAGAAACCAAGGGUGAUGAGUGAUGGGAAGGGUCACGGGACUUCAAGAAAGCUAGUUAAGAGGCGCUCCUCUUAAGCUCACUGAGGCAAGAAGACUCCAAGCAUGAAAACCACCAAGCGCCAACAACUGCAACCUACUCAUUGUACAGGACAGCCACCCUUGAACCUAGCCACCCUGCUGUGAGGAAGCCCACACCACAUGGAGAGAGGACAGGAGGUGCUCUGGCUGACAUCUCCAGCUAGGCUCUCAGCUCACAACCAGCAUCACUCAUCAGAUAAGUGGUGAACUGAGAUUAUUCCACCACCAGCCUUUGAGUCUUCCAGCCAAGGUCGCAGACAAGAAGCAGAGAUAAAGCCAACCCUGCUGUGCCCUGUCUGAAUUUCUCUCCCACAGAAAACAAGAGAUAAGAAGCGAUCAUUGUUGUUUUAAGCCAGUAAGUUUUGGGGUAUUUUGUUAUGCAGCAUUAGAUGAUUAAUUCUGUGAAACGACACUUCCUGAAAUGACAAAUAAUAAAAUGGA